rnacentral:tRNA from 1 species
GCUCCCGUAGCUCAGGGGAUAGAGCGUCGGUUUCCUAAACCGUGCGUCGCGUGUUCGAAUCACGCCGGGGGCGCCA